UGGUCAAGUUAUUAAGGGGGCAGGGCGGAUGCCUUGGCACUAGGAGCCGAUGAAGGACGUGAUAAGCUGCGAUAAGCUUCGGGGAGUUGCACGUAAACUUUGAUCCGAAGAUUUCCGAAUGAGGAAACUCACUUAGAGUAAUGUCUAAGUAUCAUUAAGUGAAUACAUAGCUUAAUGAGGGGAACUCAGGGAACUGAA
rnacentral:rRNA from 1 species